rnacentral:rRNA from 1 species
UACAGAGGAUGCAAGCGUUAUCCGGAAUGAUUGGGCGUAAAGCGUCUGUAGGUGGCUUUUUAAGUCCGCCGUCAAAUCCCAGGGCUCAACUCUGGACAGGCGGUGGAAACUACCAAGCUGGAGUACGGUAGGGGCAGAGGGAAUUUCCGGUGGAGCGGUGAAAUGCGUAGAGAUCGGGAGGAACACCCGCGGCGAAGGCGGCGACCUGGGCCGACCCUGACGCUGAGGCGCGAAGGCCGGGGGAGCGAACGGG